GCGGACGGCCGGAUGACCGCGGACCGACGGCCCGUGCCGGCACGGUCCGAGGAAAGUCCGGGCUCCAUGCAGGCACGGUGCCGGGUAACGCCCGGCGGGGGCAACCCCAGGGAAAGCGCCACAGAGAACAGACCGCCCGGACCUGUCCGGGCAAGGGUGAAACGGUGGGGUAAAAGCCCACCGCGGGACGGGCAACCGGACCGGCACGGCAAGCCCCACCGGGAGCAAUGCCGAAUAGGGAUCGCGCGCGGGGGCCUGCCCCCGCAGGGCCGCCUGCGCCCCAGCAGAUCCGGGUUGGCAGCUUGAUCCCGUCGGCGACGGCGGGACCAGAGGAAUGGUCAUCCACGGGCGGAAACGCCCCGGACAGAACCCGGCUUACAGGCCGUCCGCGCGU
rnacentral:RNase_P_RNA from 1 species